rnacentral:rRNA from 1 species
AUUGAACGCUGGCGGCAGGCUUAACACAUGCAAGUCGAACGAGUGGCGGACGGGUGAGUAAUGCUUGGGCAUCUAGCUUCUGGAGGGGGAUCACUACGGGUCACUGUAGCUAAUACCGCGUACCAUAGGAUGAGCCCGAGUGGGAUUAGGUAGUUGGUGGGGUAAAGGCUCACCAAGCCGACGAUCUCUAGCUGGUCUGAGUGGAUGACCAGCCACACUGGGACGGAGCCACGGCCCAGACUCCUACGGUAGGCAGCAGUGGGGAAUAGUGCGCAAUGGGGGCAACCUGACGCAGCCAUGCCGCGUGAAUGAAGAAGGCCUUCGGGUUGUAAAGUUCUUUCGGUAGCGAGGCUGUAACUACAGAAGAAGCACCGGCUAACUCCGUGCCAGCAGCCGCGGUAAUUC